rnacentral:rRNA from 1 species
AUUGAACGCUGGCGGCAGGCCUAACACAUGCAAGUCGAGCGGAUGAAGGAAGCUUUCGCCUGUAUUCAGCUACGGACGGGUGAGUAAUGCCUAGGAAGCUGACUUGUAUUUAGGGAUAACGUCCGUAAAGGGGCGCUAAUACCACAUCCGUUCUUAUGUUGAAAGGGAGGGAUCUUCGGACCUCGCGCUAUCAGAUGAGCCUAGGACGUAUUAGCUAGUUGGUAGGGUAAAGGCCUACCAAGGCGACGAUCCGUAACUGGCCUGAGAGGAUGAUCAGUCACACUGGAACUGAGACACGGUCCAGACUCCUACGGGAGGCAGCAGUAGGGAAUCUUGCACAAUGGGCGAAAGCUUGAUGGAGCAACGCCGCGUGUGUGAAGAAGGUCUUCGGAUCGUAAAGCACUUUAAGUAGGGAAGAAGAGAAGUAAGUUAAUCUCUUGAUGUUUUGACGUUACCAACAGAGUAAGCCCCGGCUAACUUCGUG